rnacentral:rRNA from 1 species
GAUGAACGCUGGCGGCGUGCCUAAUACAUGCCAGUCGAGCGAACGGACGAGAAGCUUGCUUCUCUGAUGUUAGCGGCGGACGGGUGAGUAACACGUGGAUAACCUACCUAUAAGGCUGGGAUAACUUCGGGAAACCGGAGCUAAUACCGGAUAAUAUUUUGAACCGCAUGGUUCAAAAGUGAAAGACGGUCUUGCUGUCACUUAUAGAUGGAUCCGCGCUGCAUUAGCUAGUUGGUAAGGUAACGGCUUACCAAGGCAACGAUGCAUAGCCGACCUGAGAGGGUGAUCGGCCACACUGGAACUGAGACACGGUCCAGACUCCUACGGGAGGCAGCAGUAGGGAAUCUUCCGCAAUGGGCCAAAGCCUGACGGAGCAACGCCGCGUGAGUGAUGAAGGUCUUCGGAUCGUAAAACUCUGUUAUUAGGGAAGAACAUAUGUGUAAGUAACUGUGCACAUCUUGACGGUACCUAAUCAGAAAGCCACGGCUAACUACGUG